rnacentral:tRNA from 1 species
GUCAGGAUGGCCGAGUGGUCUAAGGCGCCAGAUUCAAAUUCUGGUCCACGAAUGUGGGCGUGGGUUCAAAUCCCACUUCUGACA